UUCCGGUUGAUCCUGCCGGACCCGACUGCUAUCAGAGUGAGAUUAAGACAUGCGAGUUAACGUAGCAAUACGUGGCGCACGGCUCAGUAACACGUAGUCAACAUGCCCAGAGGACGUGGAUAACCUCGGGAAACUGAGUCUAAACCGCGAUAAGUGAGGAUUUCUGGAAUGGUUCCUGACUAAAAUCUAUAUGGCCUCUGGAUUGGACUGCGGCCGAUCAGGCUGUUGGUGAGGUAAUGGCCCACCAAACCUGUAACCGGUACGGGCUCUAAGAGGAGGAGCCCGGAGAUGGGCACUGAGACAAGGGCCCAGGCCCUAUGGGGCGCAGCAGGCGCGAAACCUCUGCAAUAGGCGAAAGCCUGACAGGGUUACUCUGAGUGACUUUCGCUAAGAAAGUCUUUUGGCACCUCUAAAAAGGGUGCAGAAUAAGGGGUGGGCAAGUCUGGUGUCAGCCGCUGCGGUAAUACCAGCACCCCGAGUGGUCGGGACGAUUAUUGGGCCUAAAGCAUCCGUAGCCGGUUCUGCAAGUCCCCCGUUAAAUCCAGCUGCUCAACAGAUGGGCCGCGGAGGAUACUACAGAGCUAGGAGGCAGGAGAGGCAAGCGGUACUCAGUGGGUAGGGGUAAAAUCCGUUGAUCCAUUGAAGACCACCAGUGGCGAAGGCGGCUUGCCAGAAUGCGCUCGACGGUGAGGGAUGAAAGCUGGGGGAGCAAACCGGAUUAGAUACCCGGGUAGUCCCAG
rnacentral:rRNA from 1 species